rnacentral:lncRNA from 1 species
GCGCCAAGAACAAGGGACCAAGGUGCUGAACUAACAACAAGGGGAGGAUGAUUCUUCAGGUACCAACAAAGCUAUAGACCAGAUAAUUAAGUUAACGUUUGCUUUUCUUGAAACUCCAAAUCGUAGUUAUUCUAUUUGUUCACUAAUUUGGUAUGAUCUUAAUCUAGGAGGAUUAUCACUGUAUGAUAUGAGAUCCCGACGUUUAGCAGUGAUAAAUGUCUGACGUUGAAUGGUUCUUUUCAGAAGUACAAUUGUAAGAUCUAUGAUUCUAGCUUCGAACUUUAACUAGACAGUACUAACUGGACAUAUAAUUGAUUAUUUAUGCACAACAAGAU